GCGUAGUCCAUGCCGUAAACGAUCCUUGCUAGAUGCCCGACGUAUGUUGGGUGUCGUAAGCUAACGCGUUAAGCAAGGCGCCUGGGGAGUACGAGCGCAAGCUUAAAACUCAAAGGAAUUGACGGGGAGGCGCACAAGCAGUGGAGCAUGUGGUUUAAUUCGAGACAAAGCGAAAAACCUCACCAGGACUUGACAUGUAGUUGCUAAUUCUAUGAAAGUAGAAGUCCUUCGAGGGUUCUACACAGAUGCUGCAUGGCUGUCGUCAGCUCGUGGCGUGAGCUGUACCGUUAAGUCGGGUAACGAGCGCAACCCACACCGUAUGUUAAAUUAUUCAUACGGAACUGCCCCUUUUUUGGGGAGGAAGGCGUGGAUGACGUCAAGUCAGCACGGUUCUUACGUCCUGGGCUACACACAUCCUACAAUGGCGAAUAACAACGAGCCGCAAACCAGUAAUGGCAAGCAAAUCUCUCAAAUUUCGCCUCAGUUCGGAUUGAGGGCUGCAAUUC
rnacentral:rRNA from 1 species